ensembl:processed_transcript 5830444B04Rik RIKEN cDNA 5830444B04 gene
GGCGGCUCCCAACAAAGUAAGGCGCUUCCUACACCCAUUUCCAGCUGGCCAAGUAGGACCAAGAUAAUCAUCACGGAGGAAGAGGAGAGGUGGGGAUGCCUCUCAGAUCAAAGUCUUCAAAGGCAAACCAGCUGCAUGUUUGUGAAGAUCGUGUUUGGCUCCGGCUCAAGCAGACAGCCCUGAAUGAGAUUCUUGGGGUAGCUACUGAAAACUGGCAGCAGAAGCAGAGCCGGGUUUAUUUCAGAGGGCGUGUUAAGAAGCUGGACCCUUUCCUGGAAAAUCAGCUCCAGUGGAUUAAGAGCUCAUUUAUGAAAAUGAAACCACCACAGAGGCAGUGGCCAAGAGGGGAGAUGACAUCAAGGUUCCUAAAUAAGACACCAGACAUACUAGGCCUGCUUAUCAAACCACAAUUAACAGCAGACAACAAUAGCCAACAAGCAACAGCAGCCAAAACCAACCAACAACCCAACAAUAACCCACCUAUCAGAGCUCUAGCAUUUAUAUAAUACCCUCUGAAAAGUCUCCAGAAUUCCAGACACCCAUACACUCACAGAAACCAUAUGCAGCUGGCAAAAUCACGCCCCUGCUAGAGCAUGAGGCAAAUCAUAGUCAGCUAUGGUGGGCAGUCUGAAGCAGCCCCGUACCUCACACCUAGGAUUAAGACAAAAAUAUAUUCUUAAAUAUUCCUGUGGGUUUUUGGGUUUUUUUUUUUUACUUGGUUUGGUUUUUUUUGUUUUUCGAGACAAAGUUUCUCUGUAUAGCCCUGGCUGUCCUGGAACUCACUCUGUAGACCAGGCUGGCCUUGAACUCAGAAAUCCACCUGCCUCUGCCUCCCAAGUGUGCCACCACGCCCGGCUAUUCCUGUGGUUUUUUUUUUUUUUUUUUUAAGAAACCAAAACUCCCAAUUUGUCACUAUAGAUAUUAUUUUAAGAUAAACAAGCAGAUUACAGAAAGAAUGAGUCUGCUCUGGUUUUAUUUUGAGAUAGGGUUUCUUAGUUUAACCCCGGCACUCACCAGGCUGGCCUCAAACUCACAGAGAUGGCCUGCCUCUGCCUCCCAAGUGAUUGAAGGUGUGCGCCAUUAUCACCCAGCAAGUUUGGCUCUCCGUUCUACUCCACAAAUACACUCUUCAUUUUGACCCAAAGAUUUUGACUCACACUUGGGUUCAUUUGGUCUGCUGACAUUCAGGCCCAUACUUACAUACUUCCUGUCCCCCAACGCUUAGCAGCAAACUGCACUUGGUAUAACCCUAGAUUUGUCUUUCUCUUCUUUUCAGUCUCACAGCACCUUGAGGCUCGUCCUUAUGAAUUAGGACUUGGUUGUCCUGCAUCAGCAAAGCUGUGUGACCUUCUUGGAAACCAGAGAGGCAGGAUUGAUGCUGACGCUUCAUAGGCUGUGGUAACCACGUGACUCACCGCCACGUGUCCACGCAGAAAAGUUACCCCUUGUUCAGCGCAUCCUCAGUGCAGCCCCAAGGCUGAAGUCGCCAGUACCCACCUCUCUGGGCAGCCCAGUGAUGUCCCUCAGCGAUGAGACUUCAGCAAAGGUCCCCCAAGAGUGGGCUGCACUGUUGGCAAACCUCCUCAGGAACGGCUCCUCGGUGGUGGUCCCUCAGCAGCAACAACCUCUCAAGAAUGGUCCCUGGCGACUGCCCCUUAGCAACAGCUCCUCACAAAUGACCCCUAGAAAGUGGUCCAGUAACUAGGUCGCCUCCCAGAAACAGAUCCUCGGCGACGGUUCCUCAGCACUGGCCCCCGCAGAAUCAGUUCCUUAAGCCGCUAGACCAUGGCCUCUUAACGGCCCGACUGCCCCCAGCCACCGUGGGUCUGAGGCUGCGUAGUUUGGGCGCGCAGCUCCAUGGCAACGGAAGGCUGCUUUGGGGUAGCGGGCGGGGCUGAGGCUGCGGAGGGAGAGCUUGUGCGCAGGCGUAGUGCAACAGCGGGGGUAAAGUGGGACGAGCAUCGCGGAGGGCAGAGUCAAAGCUGACUGUUGCCCAGACGAUUCUCCUGGAGACUGGGGCAGGUGCUCGAGAACUUGUCUAAAGCCAGUUGAAACUUGGGUCAACUGCUUACUUAAAAGACCAUUUACGCAGAAGUUAGGAUCUCCUGCGUCUCUUGGAUCUGAAUUCUGGCUCUCCCAGGGCUUUGCAGCCUGUGUUGUGCCCUCUAGGUGGUGACAUCUGACUCCUCUGGAUAACUCACAGGACUCUUUGGAUUGUUUUUGGUCGUUUAAGUUGGCGUGGUCACUAGUCCGGGCAGGAGGUGGGCUCAACAGUGGACAGGACAUGUUCCCUUUCCUCAGAGUCGCAGGGAUGACUGGCAACUCCUGUAGUUUUGUCUUGGAGAUGGAGAACCUUCAGCGUUAAGAAGUCCUCAAAAUAAUACAGAGCCUGUGGAAAUGUCAGUGGAGAUUGGUGGGGGGUACCUCUGCACUCCCUUCAGAUACUUUGCCUGUGAAAUACCACUGCAAUACUGUAUAGGUGUGUGUGUGGCUGGGGAUCGAACCCAGGUGUUCUAUAAGUUUAGAGCUUUGUGUAUGGAAGCCGGAUGUCCUAGUAAAGCAAUUUGGGAAAGAUAGCCAGUUGGUUUGUAACCUUUAGCUGAGGGAGAAUGUGAACUGGGCCUCCUACUCUGGGUUGACCCUGGUAUAUGGCUGAGCAGAGAGGGUUGUGAAGUAACCAUAUCCAAUACUAAUAUUUGUGGUAUGAAGUAUAAUCCCCACUAUAGUAAAAUAAGUGAAUAAAUUGGUCUUCUCUUUC